AAGUGUUGCUGCUUUUUGGGAUUCCUCAGCUGUGGUGAAAGUGGUGCAUACAGUCAAGACUCCAUUCACCCCAGGCAGCUUUCUUGAGCCUUGGGAGAUUGACUUGCAAUGGAUUGUAGGCUUCUGUUGGCCCUUGCUGCUUCUCUAUAAAAUGCUGCUAUGAAGACACAGUUAUAACUUUCACAUAAAUGAAGCUACAGCUAUUAUUAUUUAGUGCCUCCAAAAAGGAAGAACUUUGUGAACAUGAAAGGGCACUUCUGGGGAUAGCAGAAUGCUUGAGGCCUGGAAUUUAAACUUGAGCCACUGCCUGAAGGUAUGGUGAGGCCAACAGAACAGGAGUUGAUUGCCUUUAAAAAGAUUGUUUAUUACUCAGAGCUUCCAAGAGGAGAGGAACAUGCCAUACCAUACAGGGCCACACAAAACAACACUAAGCUACUAAACAGUAGGAGAAAAUGGAAUUGAGUGUGUUGCCAGCAUGGAACAGUCUAAUGAUUCAUUAAGAGUCAACUGUAAUGAUGAUGAAGAGUCAAAAACAGAUGCUGAGGAAUUUGAGCAUCUAACCUGUAUGGACUCUAGGGAUUCUUCUUUUGGACAAAAUGAUACUCCUACAGUUUUACCCAUUUCUGCUCCUCAAGCAAAUAAUUCACUCAUUUCACAGAAUAUACCAGGGCCCCUACCUCAGACACAGACUCUUUCUGAAGAGCAGUUCCAUCUAGUGGACCAAAAUGGACAAUCUGUUCCAUAUGAACUUCAUUCAUUGGGGGAUUCUAAUGCACAAAUGGCAUAUGCAUUUGUUUUUGUUUGUUUGUUUGUUUGUUUGUUUAAUGCUUCCAAGAUGAUCGUUGCUAGCCCAUCAGAAAAUGGACAGGUGCUUCGUGUAAUUCCACCUACCCAGUCAGGAAUGGCACAAGUGAUUAUACCUCAGGGGCAGCUUGUGGAUGUAAAUAGUCCUCAGGAUGUCUCUGAAGAGAAACCCAGUGACAGAAACUUACCAGCUAUAAGAGUGGACGUUCCAGCUGACAACACCAGUAGUUACAUUCUUCAUCCACACACAUCGCUUGGAUUGCCCAAAAAGUCAGCAAGCAGAAUGCUUGAAGAACCUUUGUUGGCUCCUCUUCAAUCACUCUCUUCUAACACACCUAUAUGGGCCUGCCGUCUUAGGAGCUGUGAGAAAAUUGGAGAUUCAUACCGUGGCUACUGUGUAAGUGAGACUGAGUUAGAAAGUAUCCUAACAUUUCACAAGCAGCAAACACAGAGUGUUUGGGGAACCCGCCAGUCUCCAAGCCCAGCCAAGCCUGCUACACGUUUGAUGUGGAAAUCCCAAUAUGUCCCAUAUGAUGGAAUUCCAUUUGUCAAUGCAGGGAGUAGAGCUGUGGUAAUGGAAUGUCAGUAUGGGCCAAGAAGGAAAGGUUUCCAGUUAAAAAAAAUCAGUGAACAGGAAAGCAGGUCAUGUCAGCUCUACAAAGCUACUUGUCCAGCCAGGAUUUACAUUAAAAAAGUACAGAAGUUUCCUGAAUAUAGAGUACCUACAGACCCAAAAAUUGACAAGAAAAUAAUCAGAAUGGAACAGGAAAAAGCUUUUAAUAUGCUAAAGAAGAACUUGGUAGAUGCUGGUGGUGUUCUUAGGUGGUAUGUACAGUUACCUACACAGCAAGCUCAUCAGUAUCACGAAUUAGAGACUUCCUGCCUCCCUUUGUCACCUUCCCCUUUUCCUGUGUCUUCUAUUGAAGAAGAGGAAACUGCAGUUAGAGAUGAAAAUUGUGCAUUGCCAUCACGUCUACAUCCUCAAGUAGCCCAUAAAAUUCAAGAAUUAGUAUCACAGGGAAUAGAACAAGUAUAUGCAGUAAGGAAACAGCUCAGAAAAUUUGUGGAAAGAGAACUGUUCAAACCUGAUGAGGUACCUGAAAGACAUAAUUUAUCUUUUUUUCCAACUGUAAAUGAUAUAAAAAAUCACAUCCAUGAGGUACAGAAAUCCUUGAGAAAUGGAGAUAUGUUAUAUAACUCAGAGAUUAUUCCAGCAACGCUUCAGUGGACUACAGAUAGUGGGAAUAUUCUCAGAGAGACUGUGACAGUUACGUUUGCAGAAGGAAAUUCACCAGGAGAAUCAGUUACUACCAAAGUGGAAGCAAAUCAAGCAGGGACUUCCUUGUCUCCAGAACCAACCCAUUUGCUCUCCUCACUUUCCUCAUUUCAGCCCAAAAUAUUUACACAAUUACAGGGUUUGCAAUUACAACCAAGAUUUACCUCUCCUGAUGGAUCACCAGCUUUGGUAUCAGUAAAUAACCACCCCUCCUCCAGUCCAUCAAGACUUCUGGAUUCAGUAGAAAGUACUGUAAUGAAUAGUAAUACUCUACUGCUUGGUCAAAGUCAUAGCCUUCAAACAGAUACAUGCCUAACCCAAAAUAGUAGUACUGCCUCUACCAUGGGUAAUCUCCCAGAACCAGAUCAAAAUCUAGUUGCAGUGGAUCAGCUGGUGGAAGUUGGAGAUAUUGAGGAGACAGGGAGUCUGGAAGGAAGCAUCCAUAGGAUUCUCUUGCGAGACAUGCAGACCAUUCCAAUCCGGAUUAUAGACAACCACCCAGCUCUUAUCACUUUUGUGGUCAACGAUAUGCAGUUUGCUUUGAAGAGCAAAAAUCUUCAAAGAAAUUAUUCUUGGAACAUAUAUUUUCCCUCCAUCUCAAUCCUCAUUCUUCUGGGUAAAAAAAAACUGUGACAUAGUUCCUUUCAGAAACAGUUGACAUCUUUUAGAUUUGUUGAAAGCAUUACUUUCAAAGAAAAUUUAUUCAGAGAGCUGUGGCAGUUGUAACUGCUGAGUAACUUAAGUAGAUGUGAAGAAAAAGAAGUAUAUGUGACUCCUUCAUGAAAAGUUAGAGGUCUCUCCAUUCUACAGAUGAGAAAACCAGUGCUCAGGUAGUUGAAGAAAACCCAGAAGGUACUAUUUCUAUGAAACAAGUUAAACAAGAACCCAAAGAACCAACAUUGUCCUUGGAAACAAAAAAAAUUGGACUGUAAGAAAUUAUCUGCUACAUAAAUUUUUGAAGCUUUUCAGAAUUUGCAACUCUGGUGACUUCUGAUGUCUUAGAAAAGAAGAUGAAUAUUGUCAAAGCACAGCAUUGUAAUAACUGAACUGAAGACUGAUGAGCAGCUUUGAUUUAAAACUGAUAUUUUUGUUGCCAAGUCUAUAUUUUAACUUACAUUAAGAGAUAUUUUGCCCUUCUUAUUUUGUGUAAUUCUUAUGCUUUUUGGUUAUCUAAUAAGUCAGUAUUUCAAAAGAUUGUCAGAACUUACCCAUAGUAAUUUAGUCCAAACAUGAACACUUAUCUAACUUAUUUCUGGAAAUAUCCAGUUUGAUUUAUGUAACACAAAAAAGAACAACAAAACAGUAGAUGAGUGUAUGUUCAUAUAUGUAUGUCAUGAAUUUUAAAGUUGUAAAGAAAUUUAAUUAACAGGUGAGAGAAUAUUUGUCGUCUGUAUUAUUUGAAAAGAUAAAGCAAUAGAUUUUAUAUAAUAACACAAAGCCCAGCAAUCACGUCUGUGAAAACCACACAGUUACAUUUUAGCUUCUUCCCUUUUAAUUUUGUACUUUUAAUUACAAACCAAUAGCAUGUUAAUGGUCAUAUAGUAGAAAUUUAAAUGACUUGGUAUGUACUGAGAAUUUUAACUUGAAUUAAUCAGAGAAGCAACAGAAAUCAGUAUAUGUUGCAUGAACUUACACUAUGUUGUAGGUAAAACAGUAUUAAUGGGUAAAAAGAUGAAGAAAUUGAGAAUUUGGAAAGAAUAAUAGAAUUUCUUGGUGUUUACAAAUAAUUUAGGAAAUUUUUUGUUGAUAGUAGAUAGUAGUUUCUUUUUUUUUGUUGUUUCUUCCCCCUUUAAUUUGAAGAUUCAGUUUGGGUUAGAAAAGAACUUAAGUUAUAUUUAGAUUGUUCUAAGGCUGGAGCUCUUACUGAAUCAAUAGUAUUAGAACUCAAAGUAUUUUGGGAUAAGUUGUUUUAGUUUAAAAUUUAGUUCAUAUUUAAAACUUUAAAAUAUCUGAUCUGGUAUAUUUGCUUGUUAAGUAUAUUUACUUCGAACACCAAAUAAGUAUUAAUCAGUAUAUUCAUUAUAAGCAACUGUUUUCCGGAAGAUUAGCAAAGUAGAAAUGUCACCCAUAACUGUCAAGAAAUCAACCUCUAGUCAGGUACAUUGGCACAUGCCAGUAAUUCAGCAACUCAAGGCUGAGGCAGGAGAAUUGCAAGUUUGGAGCUAGCCUCAGCAAUUUAGCAAGGCCCUAAGCAACGUAGUGAAACCCUGUCUCAAAAUAAAAAAAUUUUAAAACAAACUGGGGAUUUGACUCAGUAGUUAAGUACCCCUGUGUUCAAGUCCUGGUGCCAAAAAAAAAAAAAAAAAAAUCAACUCUAAAGGCUUUGUUUUUCCAAAGAUCAUAUGUGAGCAUAUUUUCAAUUUUAUUUUUUAAAAAAUAAGAAUUUCAAGUGGAUAUUAGUGUUUCAUAUUCAAAGCAUGACAAUAUAAUAUGAAAGUUAACCUUAAUACUUUACAUAAAUAUGUCACUUUUGGCUUUUCUAAGUCCAGUCUCUCAUUCUUAACUUACUUUGUUUCGGGUACAUGACAUGUAUCUAAAUAUAAAGCUCUGAUGUAUUAGAAAUAGGUAGAAUUCUAAAAUUGCUUACUUUUUAGAUUUAUAUUCUAUUCAAUAUAAAAUUAUUAUUUAUAUCCUAUUUAAAGCAAAGUUAAUAUUUAGUUAUAUGUACGAUUUUAAUAAGAAUUGCUUUUCUUUUUCUUAAGAAUUGAAAAUAUUUUAUGUCAGCAUUUGUAGAAGUAGGCUGCUAAAUUUGAUUAUGUUAUGCAAAGUUAAACAGAAUCUUAGUUACCUCAAACCCACAUCUGUUAGUGUAUGUGUACUUAAAAUGAAUAAGUUCAAACAUAUUUAUAGUUUUGUGUUGCACAAUAGGUAACAUUCUUUUCAUUUGUUGUUUCUACUUUUUAUGGAAAGUUUUUCAAGAUUUUAAGUAAUAGAUCUUUAUCUUCCUAUAAUGAUAAAUGUGUAUUAUUAAAUAUUUCACCCAUUGAACUAUAUUAUAUUCUUUUGGAGACAUUCCUUUCUUUUUUGAUGUUGCCUUGCUAAGGAGAAAUGCUUAUUAAGAUACAAACUCUGAUCAGUUACCUGUGAGGAUGAGAGAGAUGUCAGAGGAUUCCAACUUUGGUCCUUGAUCAAAAACAAAACAUAGUUAAAAUAUAUUUCUCUUACUUCAUUCUGUGUGAUUGUCUCUUCUGAUGUUUUUUUAUGAGAACAGAAAGUAACAGUGCAUCCUCCCCUCGACAAACAAGAAACAAAACAACCCUACAAAAACCAAGAGAGUGAAGAAAGGUUUAAAUUACUAAUUGUAUACUCUUUGGGGUUUUAGGUAGAAACUGGAACUAUGAGUACUUUCAUGUAAGUAUUUUAAUGAGUGGCUCUUCAAAAGUGAUUUCUAUGGGCUGGGGAGAUAACUCAGUUGGUAGGGUGCUUGCCUUGCAAGCACAAAGCCCUGGGUUCAAUCCCUAGCACUGCAAAAGUGAUUUCUGAGAAAAUUUAAAAAUUCAUUUAUCGUCUAAAUGCAUGUUUAAUCACAACAUGUCAGUAUUUUGUUCUAGGGUGCUUGGCAUCACGUUUUGAAAACAGUUUACAUAUUUUAAACAUCUGAUUAUUUUUUUAAUUCACAGGGUAUUAAGUACAAAUGUGUAAAAUUUUCAUUAUCUAUAUUUGGCAUUCUCCUAACAGCUCUACAGCAAAGUUUGAUGUAUGUUCUUUCAUGUCAGUUUCACAAGGUGUAAUGUUGUAGUAAGGAGUCAGACAUUCAAAUUAAACAGAAUUUCACAAUUACAACUCAACUUGUUUCUUCAUUGUAGUUUUCAUGUUCCAAGUCUCCAAGUGAACUUUAUAUAUACUCCAAUAAAUUAUAGAUAAAUACAGCCAUGGUAGACUUUUCCCUCAACAGCAAUUAUCUGUGUAAGCAGUUAGUAUAAUUUAAAAAAAAAAAAAAAAAACA